UGGGGAAUAUUGCACAAUGGGGGGAACCCUGAUGCAGCGAUGCCGCGUGGAGGAAGAAGGUUUUCGGAUUGUAAACUCCUGUCUUAAGGGACGAUAAUGACGGUACCUUAGGAGGAAGCUCCGGCUAACUACGUGCCAGCAGCCGCGGUAAUACGUAGGGAGCGAGCGUUGUCCGGAAUUACUGGGUGUAAAGGGAGCGUAGGCGGGAUUGCAAGUCAGAUGUGAAAACUAUGGGCUUAACCCAUAGACUGCAUUUGAAACUGUAGUUCUUGAGUGAAGUAGAGGUAAGCGGAAUUCCUAGUGUAGCGGUGAAAUGCGUAGAUAUUAGGAGGAACAUCGGUGGCGAAGGCGGCUUACUGGGCUUUUACUGACGCUGAGGCUCGAAAGCGUGGGGAGCAAACAGGAUUAGAUACCCUGGUAGU
rnacentral:rRNA from 1 species